UCCACGACCGACAGUCUCUUUAACUCUGACAUCAAGAACUCUUUUUUUUUUUUGAUCCAUCAAUCACUCUUUCUUGAAUCAUGUGCUUGUGGAUGCUAAUCAUUCCCCUAACCCCUAACAUAAACCCCAUACAUUCUCUCUUCAAUUGGGUUCCUUUACUUGUAAUCUUAGUCCAAGGUAUGUCAAAAGUCGGGCAAAUAGAAUGUCUGACCCGAAACGAUGUGUUAUUAGGCUUUACACAACAAGCUAUGGUUGUCGACUCUGCCAUUAUUGUUACAAAGUCCUUCGCUUGGUUGCUCACGAGGAUGUGAACUCUGCCUAAUGGAAUUGAUAUCCGCUUGAAAGAGCCUGAAGCAUAUGCUGGGUUUCCACUGGCUCAGCUUCUUGCUGUGAGAAAACCUAGUCCUGAUAACAAGGAUGCCAGUGAUACUGAGGAUGGUGAUGAUGAUAAUGAGGAAGCAGCAGUAGAUGAUCAAGAUGGAGUAGGAGGAGGAUGCUUCUGGUGAAGAUGAAGGAGAUCCCAAAGAUGAACCUGAGGCCAACGGGGAAGGUGACAGUGGAGAAGAGGAUGUCGAUGAGAAGGAGAAGGACGACAAUAAUAACAAUGAUGUCGAAGAGGAGGAAGAGCUCCAGCCACCAGCUAAAAGGCGAAAAUGAGCUUGAAUCUCUUGUCCUUGUUAUUUAUCGACUUGCUGAGGCUAGGGGUAUGGUGUACUGGGAAGUUAGAAUGGGUCGAUUCGAGUUACAGACUAAUGGUGUCUGUCUAAAUUAGAGUAGAUAACAUUGUGACAGUUCUGGAAAUCACACUUGUUUCAUAUUUCCUAAUAUACAGUUAGAGUAUCAUUAUAUAAUCUAUGCUUCAUUCUUUUCUCCUUGAUCUUUUGUAUG